rnacentral:lncRNA from 1 species
UUUUUUCUCUUUCUUAUACAGUCGAGAGCUUAUUUCAGACAAAACCGUCAAUUCUUUUUUAAUCGCCUUUAUCUUAACACAGAUGUAAUACCCAUACAUCUAUGAUCUUUUAUAAGUGCUUUUUCAUUGUUUGCAUCUUUUGUAUAAACCAGGUAUUGAAUUGACAUGUUUGCAUUUUAAAACAUUCUUUUAGUUGAUAAAGUCUAAAAAUCUCUUGUAUUACAAGUGAGAAAAUCGUCUGAUAGUAUACAUAUUUUCUUUUACGAUCUAAAGUGUAUGGUAAAUUGGUAUGACAAACUCGAAUCAGUGUGCACAAUGUUUCAUCCCAAAUGAACAGAAAACAAUAGCAUAACCUCUUCGACUGACUGUAGAUCCUAAAUGAACAAUGAAAUGUCUAAAUGUUAAUGUUUUCGGUCCUCGGUAUUCAAAAAUAAAUUUUCAUUUAAACUAUAC